rnacentral:lncRNA from 1 species
UCCUAAGAGGCAUAAUCGGGAAGAGAGAAAAAGCUAUUAAGGUGGGCGAAGCUACUAACGACGACCUACUGGGCUUGAUGUUGGAGUCGAAUAUGAGAUACUUCGAAGAGAAUGCAAACUCGAACCUCAAGAUGAGCACUGACGAGGUGAUCGUAGAAUGCAAGCUAUUCUACUUUGCAGGACAAGAGACGACGUCGGUAUUGCUGACAUGGACGAUGGUUGCUCUAAGCAUGCAUCCCGAAUGGCAGGCUCGCGCAAGAGAAGAGGUUUUGCAAGUCUUUGGGAAUGGUAGACCUGAUUUCGAAGGCUUGAGCCGCUUAAAGAUUGUGAGUAUCAGUUUAAUUCUCGUAGAGUUUUUGUUCUUGUUUUCGGUGAAUGAAGAAUUAUGCAGCGUAUAGACAUUGGAAGAUUCGAAAGUCGUGUUAAACUAGAACAUAUCAGGAAUAAUUUGAACUCUAUGUGCGACAGGUGACGAUGAUCUUUUACGAGGUUCUUCGACUCUACCCGCCUGUGAUCUUCCUCAACAGGAAAACAUACAAAGAAAUGAAGCUCGGAGGCAUAACUUACCCGCCUGGAGUAACCCUCAUGUUGCUCACCAUCUUCCUGCACCACGAUCCCGACAUCUGGGGCCAAGACGCAUCCGAGUUCAGGCCGGAGAGAUUCGCUGAGGGGAUAUCAAAGGCUUCGAAAGACCAAGUCGCGUUCUUUCCUUUUGGUUGGGGGCCCCGCAUUUGUAUCGGGCAAAGUUUCGCGCUGCUCGAAGCUAAGAUGGGGCUCAGCAUGAUCCUUCAGCGGUUCACCUUCGAGCUCUCACCAUCGUACAUUCACGCCCCGUACACUGUUAUAACUCUCCAGCCCCAGCACGGUGCUCAAAUCAACUUUCGUAGGUUAUGAUUGAUUUCGCCGUGCUCGUAUACAUAUAUAUGUUAAUAGUAUGAGGUUUUCCAACAAUAGCAAAUGACAAAGUGAAUGUUGUAGCACCUUUUGGUGAGUAAUGCAACUGGGCAUGUGUGAAUUGCAGAAAAGAUACAUGUGUAAUGGCAAAUACAGUUAUGUUACUCCUAGCUUUACUAUAUAUGUUUGGUACACUUCAUUAUUCCUAACUAGGAAUCAACCUAUGUUGAUCCUAUAUUCUGAAAAUUAGCAUAAUCUAAAAUUACAAAUAUUUUCAUAGUUUUCUUGGUGGCGGAGCUCUUUAUUCUUUAUUUCAUCAUUCAUUAGAGAUGAUUCUGAAUUAAUUAUGAUGCAUUAGUCCUAUUUGCACUGAUAAUGAUACACUUUUGGUCUCUACAAAAACUUUAGGGGGUUCAGCUGUUUGGGAUCAUGAAUAGUUCAUAAGCACUCUUUACUUUAGACAUAGGAGAGCAAAGAAGAGAUUUUCUCUGGAAGAAGCUUUUCUGGUGCUCCUAUUAAAUUGAGAGACAUUGUCCUUUUUGCAAUAUUGAUAAAUUUGAAUGAGUCGGACAACGACACUUUGACUUCAACUUUUUAUCUUUAGAGAUUUACUUAGUAUAUUUCAUAUAAUUCUUGCACCUAUAAAUUCAUUAAUGUAAGUAAUUGACUUAAAUUUUGAAGUCAAACUGUUGACUAAAUCAAAUUAGACAAAUUAAAAGAUUGGAUAAUAAAAUCAAAAUUUUAAAAGAUUGAGUAACCGAUUCAAAAUGAUCCAUAAUUCAGAUAAAUUUUGUAUGCUUUUACUGUCUCUUAUAAGCUUAAAGCGAAUAACUGCAAUACUACACUUGAACAUUUUUUAAGUAUAAGGCCAAGCCCAUUUAUACACAUUUGGCCCACAAAACCAUAUCUUACUUGCACCUAGCAAGUUAGGUUUGUAACCAGAUUAUAAUCCGAUACUUCUUUAUCUUUUGAGUUGCAGAUUAUAAUCCGAUACUUCUUUAUCUUUUGAGUUGUUCUAGCGGAUCAAUCGCUCAAGAUCUUUGGUCUUUAUCUAGACCCUAUGAAAAAAAAAAUUGGAUUAAUGAUCGAUCCGACAGAAAAUGGAAAAAUAGAGUAAAAUUUUAGUUUUUUUUUUUUAAGAGGGGAAGAGCAUAGCUCCAACCACCGGAGAUAAACUCUAGGCAGGAUUAUAGAGGAUUGACUAAACUCUAGAUUCUUUACAAAAUAACAAAAAAAAUAUUGACUAGAUGGAGAGUAUAAUAUUUUCUUUGUAUGCUUCUUGAAUCAGUCUGUCUCUUCUUUUUUUUUUUUUCCUUUCAGAAUUGAGCUAAAGUAUUUUUAGAAGCACCAAGAAAUUAGUACUAUAAAAUUUUUGGUCAUUAAUGGUGGCUCAUGAUAACCGAACCCCCUAUUGUGCAUGAUUGACCGGUCAAAAGAGUUGAUCAACAAACCAAAACGACUGGAGUGUCGACUCCUUGCUGCCCCUAAUAGUUUUUCGACUGAACUCUUUUUUUCUCAAUUUUAGAUUAGUCACCGAACAUAGGGAGUUUUAGGUAUCGAGCCCAUGUUUCGUAUUAAUGAUUCAUUUUUUGUGAUGUUUUGCGUCCAAACAUAUUAACUUUUCUAACUUUGUUUCACUUGAGAAGAAAAUAAAAUACACAAAUAUGUUUAGUCUCACUUUUGCUUUUAUUUUUCCAAUAGUAUUUCUCCACAAAAUCUUCUACACCGGCGAAAAGCAAAACAACAAGAUCUCAAGUUUGAAAGACAAAAGUCUAAUAUAUUUUUUAUUUCACUAACAAGUUUAGGGUUGGACACAACAAACAUUAAAAUCUUCUUCACACACAUAAAAAUCACGUUCAAUAUUUUUUUUAUUUUUUUUUCUAUAGGUUAUAAAAUAAAAUUUUCUCGAAGUCUCAAAAGUUUUCUGUUACGGCAAAAUCUCCAUCACCCGUUUGGUUCGGAAUUAAGGGGUGGAAUAACCCUUUAACUCCGAAGUUAUUCUCAAACACCAAUUUGGGGGGUGGGAUUAGCUAAUCCCAUCCCAAAUGGACUAUCCCGAGAUAGCCCAAGAUAGUCCAUUUGGAAUAGAGUUAGCUAACCCCACCCCACUCCACCCCACUCCAUCCCACUAUUCCAAUCAAACAAAACAUUAUUUUAUUCACUAUUCUUCUUAUCCCAGCUACUCCAACCAAAUACUAUUUUAUCUAUAUCUGAACUAAACCAAAUUCUCAACUAAACACAAAAUUACUUAACCCCAUCUUUACCCUGAAUUUAACUUUAUUUCUGGAAUAAUAAAUUUUUACUUAAUUCCGGACCAAACGGUAUAAGAUUAUCUAAGAAGCACUUUUUUUAAAAAAAAAAUUUAUUGAAAACUUCACUCCGAAGAAGGUGACGUAAUUGCCCGAGUCAUUUCAUCUUGAUCCGAUCGACCAUCGCAAAAAUUUAUUGGAAACUUCACUCUGAAGAAGGUGACGUAAUUGCCCGAGUCAUUUCAUCUUGUGUUUCGUAGAAUGUUCCCCAACCCAAUGAAUUGACCAAACGAUGUAGAAAGUUUAUUAAAUAUUUUAAUAAAAAAUAAAAAAUAUAUAAAAUUUUUAUAAAUACUUACUUUUCAUCUCUGUCGUGACUUUCAAAAAUCUAUUUUUUAUUUUCUUAAAAUUUCAAAUCAAUAUGUUUCUUUCGCCAAGCUUCUCUUAUAUACUAUUCAUUUUAUUUUUUUUUAUGUAUAUUGAAAAUAUUUUUAAAAAUAAUAUAAAUAUAUAAAUAAAUUAUUUUUUUAUAGAAUAAGUAAAAAUAAUUUAGUUAUUUCGUUUUUUAAUUAAUGCGGUAAAUUUCUGAAAAUAUUUUGAAAUUUAAGGAGGUAAAAUAUAGAAUUUCUAAAAUCAUAGGAGAAAGUAAAAAAAAAAACAGAUAUUCACAAAAAAAAUUUUGUAUUUUAGCCACAAAUACAAAAACAGAUAUUCACAAAAACAGAUAUUUUAGCUAGACUCCUAUGCUUUCGAAAGUACGGAGGCUUCCGUGCUUGUAAGUUAUUUUCGAUGAUGGGACGUCCAAUUCGGCGAUCGGUUCCGUUAGACAUGAUCUAUGCUAUUGGAACUAUCUAGAAACCAAAUUUCAUAAUUUUUUAACUUCGUUUGCCUAGUAAACGAGUAGCCUUAAAAUGAACGGCUAAAAAUAAAAAUCUCAUAAAAAACAGCGAUAAGGGACUCAAAUUUUAAAUUGGAAGUAUUGUUCUUACUCUUGAUGUUAAGUAGAAUUUUCUAUUAAAAUUUCUUGUAAUUUGGAUACUUCUACACCGUUGAACUUAAAAACGUGCCACAUCGGCCGUUAAAAUAGUUAUUUUUGAGACCCUNUGAUUGAUUGGUCAAAAGAGUUGAUCAACGAACCAAAAAGACUGGAGUGUCGACUCGUUGCUGCCUCUAAUAGUUUUUCGACUGAACUCUUUUUUUCUCAAUUUUAGAUUAGUCACCGAACAGAGGGAGUUUUAGGUAUCGAGCCCACGUUUCGUAUUAAUGAUUCAUUUUUUGUGAAGUUUUGCGUCCAAACAUAUUAACUUUUCUAACUUUGUUUCACUUGAGAAGAAAAUAAAAUACACAAAUAUGUCUAGUCUCACUUAUGCUUUUAUUUUUCCAACAGCAUUUCUCCACAAAAUCUUCUACACCGGCAAAAAGCAAAACAACAAGAUCUCAAGUUUGAAAGACAAUAGUCUAAUAUAUUUUUUAUUUCACUAACAAGUUUAGGGUUGGACACAACAAACGUUAAAAUCUUCUUCACACACAUAAAAAUCACGUUCAAUAUAUAUAUAUUUUUUUCUAUAAGUUAUAAAAUAAAAUUUUCUCGACUCCAAAGUUUUCUGUUACGGCAAAAUCUUCAUCACCCGUUUGGUUCGGAAUUAAGGGGUGGAAUAACCCUUUAACUCCGAAGUUAUUCCCAAACACUAAUUUGGGGGGAGGGAUUAGCUAAUCCCAUUUCAAAUGGACUAUCCCGAGAUAGCCCAAGAUAGCCCAUUUGGGAUGGGGUUAGCUAACCCCACCCCACCCCACUCCACCCCACUAUUCCAAUCAAACAAAAUACUAUUUUAUUCACUAUCCUUUUUAUCCCAGCUACUCGAACCAAACACUAUUUUAUUUAUAUCUGGACUAAACUAAAUUCUCAACCAAACACAAAAUUACUAUAACCCCACCUUAAUCCUGAACUUAACUUUAUUUCUAAAAUAAUAAAUUUUUACUUAAUCCCACCAAACGGUAUAAGAUUAUCUAAGAAGCACUUUUUAAAAAAAAAAAAAAAUUAUUGGAAACUUCACUCCAAAGAAGGUGACGUAAUUGCCCCAGUCAUUUCAUCUUGAUCCGAUCGACCAUCGCAAAAAAUUAUUGGAAACUUCACUCCAAAGAAGGUGACGUAAUUGCCCGAGUCAUUUCAUCUUGUGUUUCGUAGAAUGUUCCCCAACCCAAUGAAUUGACCAAACCAUGUAGAAAGUUUAUUAAAUAUUUUAAUAAAAAAUAAAAAUAUAUAAAAUUUUUAUAUAUACUUACUUUUCAUCUCUCGUCGUGACUUUCAAAAAUCUAUUUUUUAUUUUCUUAAAAUUUCAAAUAAAUAUGUUUCUUUCGCCAAGCUUCUCUUAUAUACUAUUCAUUUUAUUUUUUUUUUAUAUAUAUUGAAAAUAUUUUUAAAAAUAAUAUAAAUAUAUAAAUAAAUUAUUUUUUUAUAGAAUAAGUAAAAAUAAUUUAGUUAUUUCGUUUUUUAAUUAAUGCGGUAAAUUUCUGAAAAUAUUUUGAAAUUUAAGGAGGUAAAAUAUAGAAUUUCUAAAAUCAUAGGAGAAAGUAAAAAAAAAAACAGAUAUUCACAAAAAAUUUUUUGUAUUUUAGCCACAAAUUUAAUAGACCCUGAAUGGCCUUUUGAUUGUAUAUCUUGUAAAUGACUUUUUUUUAGGACUAUUAUACUCUUGCGAGUACAGAAGCCUUCGUGCUUAAAUUAUUUUUUAUGAUAGAACUUUUAAAUUGAUGAUCUAUAUCGUUAAGUAUGAUCUAGAGCAUUUGAAACCUAUAAAAAAAUAAAUUUUGUAAUUUUUGCAAUUGUAAUAAAGUCUACCAAUGGAUAUAAAAUGAACGGUCAAAAUCUAAUGAUUUCUUGAAAAUAGAGAAUCCGACUCUUCAAUUUAAGAUCGAAAUUAUUGAUCUUUAUAUAGAUAGUGAAUAGAAUAUUUUAUGAAAAAUUCAAUAGAAUCUGAUUCUUUUACACAGUUAAACAAGCAAGCAUUUCAUAUUGAUCGUUAUAUUUCAACAAAAUUUGAUUCUUUUACACCGUUAAACAAGCAAGCAUUCCCUAUAUAUAUAUAUAUAUAUAUAUAUAUAUAUAUAUAAUUAGCAUCAAGAACCUCAUCUUUCUUCAUCCUCUGAUUCAGAAUGCUCAAGACAACUGUGAUAAAAAAUAAUGUAUAUUAUUAUUUUUUAUCGGCCAAAAAAAAAGAACUUGUAAAAUGCUAGCAUUUAUACGUGCUAAAGUUCAAAAUAUUGUUACCUAAAAGCUCUUUUUCNGGGUCACGGCAGCCAGCCAAUGAGGCUAGGUGAUGAUUUUCGGGCAACCACGCGGCCAAAAAUCUAUCGCGACGAGAAACCGCGUUCUACCGGCAAUUUCGCCGAAAAGAACGAACCAAAAAAUCAUUUCCGAUUGCACGAGGGCCUCGGAACCUCGACAAUGAGUCCAAAGGGUCACAAUCAGUGACUACACGCAGCCCGAGGCAAAUCCACACCAACAUAAUUGCACCAAGGUCCAUAAAGAUCCAACUAUUCAUAUUAUAUAUAUAAACGGGGUAUUUAGGACCGUUAUCAAGAACCGUGCAGCUCCGAUAACUAGCGAGGGUACCAGUAGGUAGGUCUCGAUGCAGCAAAAUCGGUGCUCACUAUUCAGAGAGCUGCAACCCACUGUGGAGAGUGCGGGAGCAAGCCAAAGUUCAGGAAAGAAUGCGCACUAACAGCGGCAAGGCAAAACUCGACGAUCCGGGCCUUGCUAAUAGCAAAACAGAUGAGCACUGUGAUCAUCGCUGUCCAAGGGUUACCAUGCUCACCUCUGGAGGCGUCGGAUCAACCUCAACUGCCGGAAUAGUGAAAACAUAAGAAAAAGCCCUAACCGGGUUAGUUAUGAGCAGGGAGGCCCAAAUACAUAUAUAUAUACAAGAUAUAUAUAUAUAUAUAUAUAUAUAUAUAUACACACACACCUAUGCUAUAUAAAAUAAUAUAGUAUUAAAUAGCAAUAUCUCUUUGACCCUAUUCCAAUAGGUGUACAUCAUGUGCCGUGUCAUGUAGAAUUAAAUAGCUUCAUCUCUUUGAUGCUACUCUUAUUAAAUACAUGACAAUGCAGUGUCUGGUUUGGUUUGGUUUGGAUUGGAAUUUGGGACUUUCUAUAUUAACCAUUAAGCCCUAAGCUAACUGCACAUUCGAUCGAUCAGGAACUAGUUUUAUCUAUUAAACUCUGCUUGAAGUACGAAACAAUUGAUUUUUAAAUUUAGAAUAUCGAAUAUCAACUAUUAAAUUCUUAAGAAAAAAAAAAUACAGCUAGCUAUCCACUUUAUUCAUUUUUGAAAAAGCUCGAACUUUAGACCCAAGUUAUAAAUUAUUAGAUCCUCUAAGCAAAUUGUGCACUAGAUAUGACCAAAAUUAUCUUAAUUUUUUAACUUGGCUAGCAAUAUGAAUUAAUUAGCUUUCGAAUUUAGAAUCUCAAAUACUAAUCAUCAAAUUUUUAACCCACAAAAAAAAAUUAGGGAUAAUUGUAUAUGGCUAUCAGCAAAGUUAUCAAAUAGCAAAUAGAUCCCUAUGAAAUUGAAGUUAUCAAAUUUAUCCCUCCCAAUGUCCUUCCGUUUGUAAAUACAACCUCCUGUUAACAAAAUGCUGAUAACAAUGAGUGAAAAAAGCUAACGAUAGUUAGCAUUUUUACUCUUUUUUUAUAUAUAAUUUGUAUUUCAAAAUACUCCUAAAACUCUCAUCUUCUUCCUUCCUCAUGGACAUCCUCGGCUGUGCCGCCUUGCCCUACUCCGCCGCCUUGCCCUCGCCCUCGAGGGAGGUGCGGGCAAGGGUGCGGAAUGAGCAGGAUUGAAAAGGAGACGAAGAAGAUAAAGGCAAUUUAGUCAUUUUGUCACACCGUACUCUCUUGUAAAAUUUUUUUAUUUUUAAGCAGACAAAGUAUAAGUUUUUAAAUGACAGAGAGGAAAAGUGGAAAAGCAGAUAUUGACAGAUGAAUUUUCUAUAAUUUAGCUCUCCACUUUAUUUAAUAAUCUCAAUACCAAACUAAGUCUAAAUCUAAUAACUUAAUUUUAUAAAAAUAAAUUUACUAUUUAAUAUUUUUGUAGUGAACUCUAUAAAAUUAAUCAAGUCUCAAAAAAAAAAGGGAAAACUUUAAAAACCCUCCCUGUGGUUUCGUCGUUUCUCACUUUGCCCCCCUGUGAUUUAAAAUGUAUCAAAUUGCCCCCUGUGGUUUCUUUUUUAUCUUUUCGGUAGCUUUUUCGUUAAUAUUUUAUUAAAUUACAUACAAAAAACUUUAGAUACCCAUCUAGAUUUAUCAAAUAUUUACUUUAGUACCCUUUAAUUUUAACUUUAUCACUGAUUAAAAAAAAAAAAUAAUGAAAUUGAUAAGAAAAAGNAUAUAUAUAUAUAUAUAUAUAUAUAUAUAUAUAUAUAUAUAUACACACACAUCUAUGCUAUAUAAAAUAAUAUAGUAUUAAAUAGCAGUAUCUCUUUGACCCUAUUCCAAUAUGUGUACAUCAUGUGCCGUGUCAUGUAGAAUUAAAUAGCUUCAUCUCUUUGAUGCUACUCCUAUUAAAUACAUGACAAUGCAGUGUCUGGUUUGGUUUGGUUUGAAUUGAAAUUUGGGACUUCCUAUAUAUUAACCAUUAAGCCCUAAGCUAACUGCAAAUACGAUCGAUCAGGAACUAGUUUUAUCUAUUAAACUCUGCUUGAAGUACGAAACAAUUGAUUUUUAAAUUUAGAAUCCCGAAUAUCAACCAUUAAAUUCUUAAGAAAAAAAAAAUACAGCUAGCUAUCCACUUUAUUUAUUUUUGAAAAAGCUCGAACUUUAGACCCAAGUUAUAAAUUAUUAGAUCCUCUCAGCCAAUUGUGCACUAGAUAUGACCGAAAUUACCUUUAUUUUUUUAACUUGGCUAGCAAUAUGAAUUAAUUAGAUUUCGAAUUUAGAAUCUCAAAUAUUAAUCACCAAAUUUUUAACCCACAAAAAAAAAUUAGGGAUAACUGUAUAUGGCUAUCAGCAAAGUUAUCAAAUAGCAAAUAGAUCCCUAUGAAAUUGAAGUUAUCAAAUUUAUCCCUCCAAAUGUCCUUCUGUUUGUAAAUACAACCUCCUGUUAAUAAAAUGCUGAUAACAAUGAGUGAAAAAAGCUAACGAUAGUUAGCAUUUUUACUCUUUUUAUAUAUAUAAUUUGUAUUUCAAAAUACUCCUGAAACUCUCAUCUUCUUCCUUCCUCAUGGACAUCCUCGGCUGUGCCGCCUUGCCCUACUCCGCCGCCUUGCCCUCGCCCUCAAGGGAGGUACGGGCGAGGGUGCGGGAUGAGCAGGAUUGAAAAGGAGAUGAAGAAGAUAAGGGCAAUUUAUUCAUUUUGUCACACCGUACUCUCUUGUAAAAAUUUUAUAUUUUUAAGCAGACAAAGUAUAAGUUUUUAAAUGACAGAGAGGAAAAGUGAAAAAACAGAUAUUGACAGAUGAAUUUUCUAUAAUUUAGCUCUCCACUUUAUUUAAUAAUCUCAAUACCAAACUAAGUCUAAAUCUAAUAACUUAAUUUUAUAAAAAUAAAUUUACUAUUUAAUAUUUUUGCAGUGAACUCUAUAAAAUUAACCAAGCCUUAAAAAAAAAAGGGAAAACUUUAAAAACCCUCCUUGUGGUUUCGUAGUUUCUCACUUUACCCCCCGUGGUUUAAAAUGUAUCAAAUUACCCCCUGUGGUUUCUUUUUUAUCUUUUCGGUAGCUUUUUCGUUAAUAUUUUAUUAAAUUAUGUACAAAAAACUUCAGAUACCUAUCUAAAUUUAUCAAAUAUUUACUUUAGUAUCCUUUAAUUUUAACUUUAUCACUGAUUUAAGAAAAAAAAAUAAUAAAAUUGAUAAAAAAAAGAAAAAAAAGAAACCACAGGGAGCAAAUUGAUACAUUUUAAAUCACAGGAGGGCAAAAUGAAAAACUACGAAACCACACGAGGUUUUUGAAGUUUUCCAAAAAAACAGUAAACUACCUAUUAAUAGUUCACUACACGACACACACACACAACAAAAAAAAAUAAAAAAAUAAAAAAAUAAAAAAAAUAAAAAAAUCCCUUGAAGACUUUGAAUUUCAGAUACCUAUCGCCUCACGCACUUUUGCUCCUCCCCACCCUUUACCCCUUACCCCUCGCGCGUCGCCAUGGGAGUGGGCAUUGAGGUCGAGGUCGAGUCGCCAUGGGCGUGGGCGUGGAGCUCGGCGACGGUGGUGGUGGUGGUGGUGGUGGUGGUGGUGGGGAUGGCGGUGUUGUGGGGGGUGCCGAUGGUGGAGUGGGGGCUGCUGCGGCCGAGGCGGCUGGAGCGGGCGCUGCGGGCGCAGGGGCUGCGCGGGAGCCGCUACCACCCCUUCGCCGGCGACCUCCCGGAGAACGCCCGGCUCAACGCCGCCGCCCGCUCCCGGCCCCUCCCUCUCUCCCCCUCCCCCCACCGCAUCGUCCCCCGCGUNCUCCCUCUCUCCCCCUCCCCUCACCGCAUCGUCCCCCGCGUCUCCCCCCUCUUCCACCAAAUUAUGCAGCUGCACGGUCAGAUAUAUUUUACAUCUUUUCUAUUCAAAAAGUACAACGGAGUUGAACUCCUCUGCUUUUAAAAAUACUUGUGGCUUUUCAACCGCCAGAUCAUCUCAAAAUUUAUAUAGUACUAUUAAUCUGUGCUGCAUAGAUCUUAACACGAUCCGGCAGUUAAAAAAAUUACUUGCAUCUUAAGCUCUUAUGCUUUUAAAAGCAACUUCUAUGCUUUUAAAAGGACAAGAGCUCAACUCUUGUAAAAUAUAUACUCAUUUUUAGAACAUACUAGUAGUUUUUUUUUUACUAGUACUGUAUGGAUUUUAGAAAAAUAUUUACUGUAUCAUAUUUAUAGCAAUAACAAGUCAUUCAUAUCUCUCCUUCUAAAAAUAAAGUAUAAUAAAAAUAUUUAUUUUAUAAUUAUGAUGUGAUGGAUUUACUCAAAAAAAUUUAUUUGAUUAAUUAGAAAUGCCACGUCACUAAUAUAACCAGUGCAUUCUAAAAUUUUUCAAACUUUAGAAUAAUCCAGCAGUUAAAGAAUUAUAAGCACGUUGAGUUCCAAUGCUUUUAAAAGCACGGGAUCUCAACUGGGGUAAAAACAAACCCUUUGAUGAUCUGCCAAUUCGAAGAGAUGUAAGAAGUGGAGUGAAAUUAAAAUGCACGAAAUUUUGAUCUGAAAUGUGUAAGAUGUCGUAAAGCUUCUUUAAAUGAUCAUUAUGAUGAAUCUCUGAUAUGUGGGAAGCUCAAAACUGCAGGUAAAAUUUCUUUUACUUGGUUUGGUCCAACACCCAGAGUGACAAUUACAGACCCAGAGCUGGUGAGGGAAGUUCUGUCGAACAAGUUUGGGCACUUUGAGAAGCCGUCAGUGAGCCCUCUUGCAAGAUUGUUGGCUGACGGGCUCGCAAACUACAAGGGCGAAAAAUGGGCCAGGCACAGGAGAAUCCUCAAUCCGGCUUUUCAUCUCGAAAAGCUUAAGGUAAUUUGUGGUUUCGAAGGAACAUCCGUCCUAUUUCGUAGGUUACGGUGUGCGAUAUGGUUACGAAGGAUGAACAAGAUAUGGACAGUUCCGACAAGAUUUCAUUGUCCAGAACAAAAGGGAAUCCAUACACAUAGAUGAUUCUUUGGUUUCUUCUAGACAAGGAUUUAAGUGCCGAGGCACAGAGUCAUGUUGAGCACCAGCACGGUAUGACACGGUGCCGCACCGUGCCAUGCUGAUGUGUGCCUUUGACGAUACCUGUGUUUGGCAAAUUUUAUUUUCUUUGGCCCUAGUAUAUUUUGGAUUUCUCAAUAUAUCGUUUGUUAAAUAUUUGUAACUUACUGAUAUAAUUACUUGAUAGUUUCAGAAAAAAAAGGGUUUUCGGCUGUACCGUCAGUAGCAGGGUUGAGUCAUGCAGAUACUUUGUCGGCACCGUACAACACUGGUCAUUAAAUCCUUGCUUCUAGGGCAUCCGACGAUAAGAAAUAGUUGAUAUGAAGCUAAAUUUCCGAUCUGAUAUACAAAGAUAGAUGCAGUCCAGUGUUAACUAACUCACAUUUUCCUCCUCAAUGAGUCUUUUCUUUGUGUGUACUUUUGCAGCGUAUGUUGCCGUCGUUCUCUACUUGUUGUACUGAGUUGAUCGCCAGAUGGGAGAAUUUAGUUCCGUCAGAAGGAUCGUCUGAAAUAGAUGUUUGGCCGGAGCUGCAGAACUUCACGGGAGACGUCAUCUCCCGAACUGCUUUCGGUAGCAGCUACCAAGAAGGACGACGAAUAUUUCAGCUUCAAUCAGAGCUUGCCGAGCGCCUUAUUCAGGCUUUUCAGUAUUUGUUUAUCCCAGGUUACAGGUGUGUCCUUUUCUCAUUUGGGUCGAUGUUCCAAUUGCCUGUUACGAUUUGCCGUUAAACCAUUGAACUCAAUCGGUUGAAAUAUGAUGUAUUUUGAUAAACACUAUCAUUAUUCGCUGUUGUAUAGGUUUCUCCCGACGAAAAACAAUAGUAGAAUGAAAGAGAUCGAUGGAGAGAUUCGAUCGCUCCUAAGAGGCAUAAUCGGGAAGAGAGAAAAAGCUAUUAAGGUGGGCGAAGCUACUAACGAUGACCUACUGGGCUUGAUGUUGGAGUCGAAUAUGAGGUACUUCGAAGAGAAUGCAAACUCGAACCUCAAGAUGAGCACUGACGAGGUGAUCGAAGAAUGCAAGCUAUUCUACUUUGCAGGACAAGAGACGACGUCGGUAUUGCUGACAUGGACGAUGGUUGCUCUAAGCAUGCAUCCCGAAUGGCAGGC